rnacentral:ribozyme from 13 species
AAUGGAGCAGAAAUUAACAAAAGAGACGAGAAUGGACAAACAUCUUUGUAUGUUGCUUCUUGUUGUGAUUAUUUAAGUGUUGUUGAAUUGUUGCUUUCUUUU